UCGGUUUAAUGUGUAGUUUAUUGGGUUAAAAUGGCCUGGAAAUACACUCAUACAUUCAGCAGCACUGCUGAGCGCCUUUAUUGUAACUCUCUCUCUCUCUCUCUCUCGCCAUACGAAUGGAUAGUAGAACGAUAAGCAUUUAUUGCAUUUCUUUGCCAGCCCUAAAGUACGAGUAUGUAAAUUCUCAAAGUGAAUAUUCAAGUUCUUAUAGCGUAUAGAUAGAGGGCUCUGCCUCUGGCUUCUCUGUUCUCUGAGCCAAGAGCGAUAAAGAUACAGAUACCGAUACCGAUACCGAUACCGUUAGUAAGUUGGCUACAGAUCUAACUGCAUUCAUACUACAUGUACAUAUUUAUGCUACAGAAGCUACAUAUAUGUAUGUAAUAUGUAUAUAUAUAUGUAUGUCGUAUUCG
rnacentral:lncRNA from 1 species